GAUAACCUCGCGCAUAAUCUUGACAUUUAAAUAAAUACAAUUUAGAAGAAUUUAAUUAGUCACUAUCAACGGACUUUUCCAUGAUGUCAUCAAAGCUGACUUUUGUACUGGUCGAAUAAGAUAAAAAUUAGGCCAAUACGCUUCGUGGAAUAUGAAUAGAAAUGGAUAGCACCAUCAAGCAAUGAGAUGGGAUUUAUACGCAUAUUUACUGUCAUAAAGUGGCAAAGGUGCACGAACACAUAAUGAAAAGAUCCGACAAAGAAAAUUCAGUGGAAUCCAACGAACUUUAGUUCAACAGAAUCUCAAUUUGUCCUAAUUACCAAACACGCUGGAAGUUGGAAAUUCAUGGGAAGGAUAGCAGCGCGCUUAUAUACACAUAAAUUUCAUCAAGAAGCGGCGGCAGCUCGCGAACGGAUCUCUAUCGAGAUGAGUCAGAAAUCGACGGGACGAAAGUAGACAGCUGUAGUUCUCGUUCGUCGGGCAUUGGCGACCCGAAUUUCCCCCGAUGUUUUUCCUCCGUAUAUUAGAUAGAUAAAAUGGCGUCGCGCCGCUACCGCAUCGCUUGAUCAGAUGUGUGACAAAACGUUUUGUUUCUCUUCUAAAAUGAAAUAAAGUAAGUACUUAAA